UACGGGGGGCAAGGCGUGUUCGGAAUUACUGGGCGUAAAGGGCUCGUAGGCGGCCAACUAAGUCAGACGUGAAAUCCCUCGGCUUAACCGGGGAACUGCGUCUGAUACUGGAUGGCUUGAGUUCGGGAGAGGGAUGUGGAAUUCCCGGUGUAGCGGUGAAAUGCGCAGAUAUCAGGAAGAACACCCGUGGCUAAGGCGGCUCUCUAGUACGGUACUGACGCUGAGACGCGAAAGCGUGGGGAGCGAACAGG
rnacentral:rRNA from 1 species